UAAAAAGAAAUAUAAGGAACUAGAGGAUAUAAAAAACAUGGUAGGUGAGUUGGUAGGAGAAAUGAAAGAACUCAGAAAAGAGAAUAGCGAGU
rnacentral:lncRNA from 1 species